rnacentral:tRNA from 1 species
GUCCGGGUGGCGGAAUUGGUAGACGCGCUAGCUUGAGGUGCUAGUGCCCCUUUCGGGGCGUGGAGGUUCAAGUCCUCUUUCGGACACAA